UUUUGGACAAUGGGCGCAAGCCUGAUCCAGCCAUUCCGCGUGAGUGAAGAAGGCCUUCGGGUUGUAAAGCUCUUUCGCAAGGGAAGAAAACUUACUUUCUAAUAAAGAGUGAGGUUGACGGUACCUUGAUAAGAAGCACCGGCUAACUACGUGCCAGCAGCCGCGGUAAUACGUAGGGUGCGAGCGUUAAUCGGAAUUACUGGGCGUAAAGCGUGCGCAGGCGGCUUUGUAAGUCAGAUGUGAAAUCCCCGAGCUCAACUUGGGAACUGCGUUUGAAACUACAAGGCUAGAAUAUGUCAGAGGGGGGUAGAAUUCCACGUGUAGCAGUGAAAUGCGUAGAGAUGUGGAGGAAUACCAAUGGCGAAGGCAGCCCCCUGGGAGUAAUAUUGACGCUCAUGCACGAGG
rnacentral:rRNA from 1 species